rnacentral:rRNA from 1 species
AGUGAACGCUGGCGGCAGGCCUAACACAUGCAAGUCGAGCGGCAGCGCGGGGGCAACCCUGGCGGCGAGCGGCGGACGGGUGAGGAAUGCGUCGGAAUCUGCCUCUUUGUGGGGGAUAACGUAGGGAAACUUACGCUAAUACCGCAUACGACCUACGGGUGAAAGUGGGGGACCGCAAGGCCUCACGCAGAGAGAUGAGCCGACGCCGGAUUAGCUAGUUGGCGGGGUAAAGGCCCACCAAGGCGACGAUCCGUAGCUGGUCUGAGAGGAUGAUCAGCCACACUGGAACUGAGACACGGUCCAGACUCCUACGGGAGGCAGCAGUGGGGAAUAUUGGACAAUGGGCGCAAGCCUGAUCCAGCCAUGCCGCGUGUGUGAAGAAGGCCUUCGGGUUGUAAAGCACUUUUGUCCGGAAAGAAAUCCUUUCAGUUAAUACCUGGGAGGGAUGACGGUACCGGAAGAAUAAGCACCGGCUAACUUCGUGCCAGCAGCCGCCGUAACAC